UGGGGAAUAUUGGACAAUGGGCGCAAGCCUGAUCCAGCAAUGCCGCGUGUGUGAAGAAGGCCUUCGGGUUGUAAAGCACUUUUAUCAGGAGCGAAACGCUGUCGGCUAAUACCCGGCGGAACUGACGGUACCUGAGGAAUAAGCACCGGCUAACUUCGUGCCAGCAGCCGCGGUAAUACGAAGGGUGCAAGCGUUAAUCGGAAUUACUGGGCGUAAAGCGUGCGUAGGCGGUUUCUUAAGUCUGCUGUGAAAUCCCCGGGCUCAACCUGGGAAUGGCAGUGGAUACUGGGAGGCUAGAGUGUGUCAGAGGGUGGUGGAAUUCCCGGUGUAGCGGUGAAAUGCGUAGAGAUCGGGAGGAACAUCAGUGGCGAAGGCGGCCACCUGGGACAACACUGACGCUGAGGCACGAAAGCGUGGGGGAGCAAACAGGAUUAGGAUACCCUGGUAGUCCACGCCCUAAAAGCGAUGCGAACUGGAUGUUGGUCUCAACUCGGAGAUCAGUGUCGAAGCUAACGCGUUAAGUUCGCCGCCUGGGGAGUACGGUCGCAAGACUGAAACUCAAAUGAAUUGACGGGGUCAUAGCUGUUUCCUG
rnacentral:rRNA from 1 species